rnacentral:rRNA from 1 species
GUGAUCCGGGUUGCGGACAGUGUCUGGUGGGUAGUUUGACUGGGGCGGUCUCCUCCUAAAGAGUAACGGAGGAGCACGAAGGUUGGCUAAUCCUGGUCGGACAUCAGGAGGUUAGUGCAAUGGCAUAAGCCAGCUUGACUGCGAGCGUGACGGCGCGAGCAGGUGCGAAAGCAGGUCAUAGUGAUCCGGUGGUUCUGAAUGGAAGGGCCAUCGCUCAACGGAUAAAAGGUACUCCGGGGAUAACAGGCUGAUACCGCCCAAGAGUUCAUAUCGACGGCGGUGUUUGGCACCUCGAUGUCGGCUCAUCACAUCCUGGGGCUGAAGUAGGUCCCAAGGGUAUGGCUGUUCGCCAUUUAAAGUGGUACGCGAGCUGGGUUUAGAACGUCGUGAGACAGUUCGGUCCCUAUCUGCCGUGGGCGCUGGAGAACUGAGGGGGGCUGCUCCUAGUACGAGAGGACCGGAGUGGACGCAUCACUGGUGUUCGGGUUGUCAUGCCAAUGGCACUGCCCGGUAGCUAAAUGCGGAAGAGAUAAGUGCUGAAAGCAUCUAAGCACG